AAACAGCUACAUUGUUUCAAAACACACAAAAUUUUGGAGAGAAGCAACACACACAAAAUGCUGGUGGAAUGCAGCAGGCCAGGCAGCAUCAUUUUGUGUGGGUUGCUUGAAUUUCCAGUAUCUGCAGAUUUUCUCAUGUUUGAAAUUUUGGAGGGACUCAGGAAGUCAGCCAGGAAGGGAAUAAACAUUGUUUCAAACAGAAUCCUGUGCAAAAGUGAAUAAGGCCAUAUUGCAAGUGGACUCGGUUGAAAAUUAUUCCACAGAAUGCAAGAGAAAUAAAGAAGCAGUGAUCAUGUAUCAUUUAUUUCAGGUUUGUAAAAUUCUGUAAUCUGCAGUAGGGUAGUAAGAUUUAAAACUGUACUUCCAUACGUCUUAAAUAGUGAGAAACAAAAAGAUUACAUGAAUCUUGGGGUCAAGCAUAUUUAUUUAAGUCUACAUGUUAUAAUAGCAGUCGGCAUAAUAGAGUCAUAUAUUUCAAUUAUACACUAUACUGUGACAGUGAAUUUAGCACCAAUAAACAGUCAUUCAACUGUUCACCUGAGGACCACACCUUGUCCAAAAUGCAAACAGAAAUCCUCACAUAGAAACCAUAGAAAAACUACAGCACAGAAGCAGGCCUUUUGGCCCUUCUUGGCUGUGCCGAACUAUUUUCUGCCCAGUCCCACUGACCUGCACGCGGACCAUAUCCCUCCAUACACCUCCCAUCCAUGUAUCUGUCCAAUUUAUUCUUAAAUGUUAAAAAAGAACCCGCAUUUACCACCUCAUCUGGCAGCUCAUUCCACACUCCCACCACUGUGUGUGUGAAGAAGCCCCCGCAAUGUUCCCUUUAAACUUUUCCCCCUUCAUCCUUAACCCAUGUCCUCUGGUUUUUUUCUCCCCUUGCCUCAGUGGAAAAAGCCUGCUUGCAUUCACUCUAUCUAUACCCAUCAUAAUUUUAUAUACCUCCAUCAAAUCUCCCCUCAUUCUUCUACGCUCCAGGGAAUAAAGUCCUAACCUACUCAACCUUUCUCUGUAACUGAGUUUCUUAAGUCCUGGCAACAUCCUUGUAAACCUUCUCUGCACUCUUUCAACCAAAGAUAUUUAGAAUCCAGUAAAGUCACUAGAUUUUGAUAUUUGGAAUCAAUCUGAAUCAUCAAGACAAAUCCAAAUUACAAAUUUAAAUUUAAAGGAUAUUUUGCGUUGUUUUUUGUUAACAAGAGCAAUGAUCAAUAAACUGGUGGAUGACAAGAGGUUUGUGAUGUUGUUGAUAGCGACAAAGGUUGUCUGGAUCAAGUAGGGCAGAGCAUUAGUAAAUGGAAUUGAGACCACAACUGGAACUUAAUCCCAACAAGGGUGAGGUUAUGCAUUUUGGUAGGUUAAAUAGGGAUAUAUACUAUAAAUGAUUGUAGCCUAAAGAAUGUUUACGAUCAAAGGGAUUUUCAAGGUAAGGUUCAUUGUUUUGCAUGGAUGAAAGGAAAAUGGAGAAUUAUGUGAGAAGGGAGGGUUAGUUUGAUUUUAGAACAUUAUGGACUGAAGGACCUCUAAUGGUCUAUGUCCUACGUUUCCUGAAAGUGGCAACAUAGUUAGAGACUGUAGGAUGGUGGAGGAAGCAUAUGGAAGCAUAGAAUAUGAAAGUUGGGAGAUUGUGUUUAAACAUCACAAAUCACCAUAUUAGGAGUGUUGUGUGCAGUCCUAGUUGCCACUCUAUAGGUAGGAUCUGGCUGUGCUGAAGUGAGUGAGGAGGAGAUUCAAUUCACCAGCAUGUCUCUUGGAUUGUGGCACCUUUGUCACAGGGACAGACUGCAUAGGCUUGACUUGUUUUCCUUGUACUGAAAGAGGCUGAGGGGUGACCUGAUCCAUCUAGAUUAAGUUAUGCAAGGCAAUAGAUAAGGUGGAUAGACUGAAUCACUUUUCCCAAGGUAAGAUUAUCAAAAACAAGAAAGCACAGGUUUACGGUGAGAGGAAGAAUGUUUAAAGACUAUUUGAGGACAGAUCUUUUUUAAAAAAAAUAAUGCAAAGUGCUGGAUAUCUGAAACUUAUUGCCAGAAGAACUGAUGAUCAAAUACAAUUAACUAUUUAAAACAUAGUAGAUUGGCGUUAAAGUGGACAAUGCAUAGGAGCCAGGUGUAAUGUAGGCAAAUAGAAUUCAUGAAUGUGAACAAAAAGGGUCGGCAUAGACGUGGCGGAUCGAAGGGCCUGUUUCUGUGCUGUGCAGUUCUGUGACUCUUAAAAACUUAAGAAACUAUCCAGAAUUUACAAAGUAAAUAAUGCAGCAUUGGGAGAAUGAGGAAAAAGCGGCCGGAGGGCAACAACUACCUGAGGCAUUAAAGUUUAGAGACUACUUCACUUAAAAGGUAGCAGCUCCCUUCGGUUUAUAAAUACACGUGAGGACAUGCAAAACAUCCAUCCGUCAUAAAUGAAAAUCAUUAUCUGGAGCAAACCACGCAGUCACCGUCUUUACAUAUUUUAAUCUUCAACAUCAACCACCAACAUAACCUAUCUACUGUAUCGUGAUUAGCCGUGAUCGGCGAACUUCAGGCAUUUAAAAUGCGCCGACUCAAACAGACAGCCUUCAGCUCAAACGCGGGGUAGUGUGUUGUAAUUAUGAAAAUGAAAGUGAACAGCUUCAUUCCAAAAGGGCUAAACUGUGACAAGGAAGAGUCACAAACGAAGAGUACGCCGUUAUUUAAUAAAUGCAAUUCAGCAAGUGAGAAUAAUAAAUUGGAAUCGCUAUUGCUCAGAUUUCUAGUUUCAAUGAACUGGAAUCACAUAAUAAAUGACAAUCGCCACAGGGAACAACGGAAUAGCCCGUCCCUUACGGAUUUUUUUUCCAGGCACGCGAUUACGAAAAAAAAUGCCAGAUUUGCACACUAACGCCGAUCUGCCGCCCUGUGUGCAGCGCAGGGUCGCCAACAAAAAAGAUAAACAGUGCAGCAAACGCUGUAACAUUGGCGGAGCUUUUUGAUAGAUCGGAUCUGGCCGUUGAAAUAUUCUCAAAGCAUCAUUCAGAUCCCACAGUCAUCGUGAUACUGCACAUCCAGAAGAAAUACUGUCACAAGAAAGUAGCAUCCAUAAUUGAGACCCCUCCCCCCACCCCACUGUCCAUGCCAUAUUCUCUUCUUAUUACAGCCAUCAGGAAGGAGGUACAUGAACACUUCAGGUUCAAGGAAAGGUAUUAACCAUCUACAAUCAGGCUCCUGAACCGGAGUGGGAUAACUUCACUUAUCUCAACAUUGAACUGAUUCCACAAUCCAUGGACUCACUUUCAAGGAUUCUACAACUCAUGUUCUCAGUAUUAUUCAUUUAUUUUAGUGUUGUUUAUGAAUCUUUGUUUGUAGUUUUUCAUUGAUCCUAUUGUAUUUCUCUGUUCUUCUAUAAAUGCCUGCAAGAAAAUGAAUCUCAAAGUAGCAUUUUGAUAAUAAAUUUACAAUGAACAAUACUCAGCCUGCUCAACUUCACAACAAGCCAAAAAUACAUCUAUAGUCAAGAACUAGCUAGCAUGAUAGAAAGGAUAGAGUGGCAUACAGUUUUUAGAGCUCAUUUGAGAGUACUAGGAAUUCAUGCAGUUUGGUGUCUCAUAUGUGUUACUUGAUGAAGCUUUGCAGUUUGGCAACAGAGAGAUAAGCAAGCUGAGGUAAACCACACCCCCAAUGCAAGCAUUACAAAAACAACUAUCCAAAUUGGUAGUUUAUAGAGGAACUAUUGAGGAAAUGACUACUUAAAUGCAGGAACUAUAUGCCACAAAUGUUAAUUAAGGGGUUACUACAAAUAUCAAUCUACAAAAUGGAAGAAAUUGAGAAGUUCAUCUCAUGCAGCCAACAAAGUAGAUUACUCUGUUCACUUUGUCAAUUUUCUUCAUAUACAGAAGAUGUUAAAGGGGAGGAGGGAAUAAUUAGAAGUGUACAAACAUUGGAAGAAUUAUGCUACAUGAGUAAUUUCUUUGGUUGACAGUUGAUUGUAAGUUUAUUUUACAUAAAAAUAUUCACAUUCCACUUCUAAAAUACUCCUGUUUUUUUUUCUCUUAAACUUGUGCAGGAUGUUUGCCAAGAGAAAAAAAAUCAAACAUAUUUUGUAUUCCUAAGAAAAUAUCAAGGCUUUUGUUACUGUAGACUUCAAGAUGUAAUAAUUUAACAUGUUCAGUUUAUAUUUAUCAGCUGCUAAGCUGGUAAGGGGUAAAUCCUUUCAAAUUUACACAUGGGUUAAAUUUUUAGGUCAAUUUAUCAUAAUAAUCUGCUGUCCAAGUUAUGUUUAAAAUAGAAACAGUAAAAACAAGGACAAGAGUUGUGCCAAAAUCCUUGUAACUAGGAGAGUACUUAAAUACAUCAGCAGCUGUUUUUCUCAAAUCAAUAUUUGUAUAGAUUCCUCAAGAUUAAGCCUAUUUAAACAUUGCAACCUUUACUAAUGUCAACUUUCAUGUCCAGUAGGUCAACUAAUAUUAAUGUAUUCUGGGAGCCAAGGCAGUUCUCCUAUUGAUUGCAAGGACAUUAGUUCAUCUGUAUGAAUUUCCUCAGGGCAAGUUAUUCUGGAUUCUGCCAGCUUUCUUUUCAGUCCUGAUGAAGGGUCUCAGCCCAAGACAUCAACUGUUUAUUCACUUCUACAGAUGCUGCCUGACUUGGAAGGAGGUACAGAAGCCUGACGGUACACAUUCAAGGAUUCAGGAACAGCUUCUUCCUUUCUGCCAUCUGAUUUCUGAGGGGACAUUGAAUCUCCUCCCCACCAUCAA